CACGACCAUAGCUCUUAAAAACAUAUAGAAAGAGAGUAAAAACGUCCCUUGGCUGGAGGAAAGAGAUUCCAAGGAGUUCUUAGUGAAAAUCGAACUGAAGAAGUGAAUUAAGCUCAGUUUUGGUCUUUUAACGAUAUCUCUUGGUGGAUCUCAAGUGGUUUGAAGUUUAGAAAAGCUAGAAGAGAUUGUUUCUGCCAAAAAGUUUCUCGGUCAGAAAAAUGAUGUGUAAUGGGACCAAUGAACUGAAGCCUAGUGCCGACUUUGCUUGUAAAUAUGAAUAAAUAAAAGUUGUGUGGGAGUGGUUUAUGUUUGUGUAUUCACGACUUGUGGAAUUAUGUCUUAUGUACAAUAAAUAAAAUUAUGAGACUCAUGUAUUAAGUACUAGAGACGCUCAAUAUGUAAAAUAAAUAAAGUUGAGAAACUGUUUUAUUAUACUUUAUGUAAAA